CUGACCCCCUCCGUCGUUAUCUGGCGCCCAUUUAACAGGGAGUCCUACUUCGUCGAGUUCUGCAGGGACGCAAGGCGAACGGAAGGAGCUGAGGGAAGCAGUCGUGGGAGGUGAUGCUGUCCCCGGCAUCACGGAACAAAACCAUGCGCAUGGUACAGAGGAAUCUCACCCUGGCCCGGUGAGUCGACCGAGGGAGAGAGCAUGGGGCCCGCGGCAUCCAAAGAGGAUGAGGCCGCGGAAACGCUCCCCCGAUAUAUAUUCUCUCUAGGAGAGCCUGUUUCUGAUGGAACCGCCCCUAAGGGGUUGAUGGCAUGGGUGAGAGCGAGGACUCUACUUCCCGCUGCUCGAACCGCCUUUCAGGUGUCCACAAGGGACGCUAUAAAGGAAUUGUUUUGGGACGAGAUCUCUACGGGGUCAGGAGCCCCUAGAACGUGUACUCUGCUUUGGCGUCUGGCAGUUGGGUCGCUACAAGAGUUAAGUUCUGAGCGACGGGAACUCAUAAAGGUUCGAACAGCUCUGUCGGGAGAUGGCGGGACUACGGCCGGUCCCCGCCCCGUUCGGUCUGCUGUAGGGGGGAUCCCCGUGCCUGCGGCUGCGAAGUUGCGAAUGCUAGGACCCUUAGGAGCAGCGGGAUCACCUCCGUUUAGCGCCGUGCAUGUAGCAGCAGGAUGUGUAGGGGCUGCAGGAACAUCACUAGCGGCGGAGAAUGAAGCUGGAGCCGUGCCAGCAGCACCGCUCUCUCCUGCGGCUGCGCAGUCGGCAGUGUCGCUCCUCACUGUGCCUGCUACUGCGCAUGUGUCAACUGGACCGACACUGCUGGGAGCCUCCGCGUCCCUAGAUGGCGCUGCAUCGCUGGCGCCUGAAGCCACCAUGCAACCCGGAAGAAAGCCACUGUGGAUCGCUGCCAUGGCAACAGACGCUGUUUUCGGAAAAAAAAAAAAAAAUAAAAAGCAGAACCAGGAUUACUCAAACAGCUGCCAGAGUCCGGCGUGCGGGUGCUGAGGCCGCGCUCCAGGGCUGGGGGCUGCGCGCUGGGGCUGCCGCUGCGCCGGCUCGGCCGUGGGGGAGGCGGCGCUGGCAGCCACGGCAAAAGGCGGCAGGGGCACCUCGGCGGCAGAGGCACCUCAGCGACAGAGGCAACGCCGACAGCUACUUCUGCAGAGCCAGCCAGACUUCUGCGGGCAUCCCCGGGAGCUGCACGGCGCACGGAGCAGCCCGGGGAACAGCAGCUCGGCGGUGACUGGCUUGCGGGGGAGUUGCCCCGCAGAAUCCAGGCAUGUCGGUAACUGAGAACAGAAAGCAGAAUCUCUCUCUCUUUAGUCCUUCUGCUCACUUGUGGAUAACUUAAAACUAAAAGAUUGUGUUUUACUAAAAGUUAGCAUGCAAGAAAUUUUAAGAGUUUCCCAGAGAAUGAAUCUUUAUAUAAAAGCUUUAGUGAGUUGCCUUGGUUUUAGUCACAUUUUACCCCUGUAAAGAACUUCUGCCCAAAUUUCGUGUUCAGUCUUAGCAGGAGGAGACAUAAGGUUCACACAAUAGAGAUCAUUUGUUGCUUAGCAACUGGGUGGGACUCAAACCACCUCCAGCAGUUUCUCAGAACUAGGGAGAGAGUAGAACUUAUACACCAAAAACUACAAAUCUGCAAAUAAGAUAAAUGGAAAGCUGGCAGGCUGAGGAUUUCCUUGAUUCUUAGGUAAAACAUCUCUCUAUCUUCCUGUUAUAAACUGAGAAGUUAUUGUGACAGUGGAAAUCACAUCUUUAGAAUUGUAUUUAAAAAGGUUUACUCAGCUGAUUUUAACAUUUGGAUGUUAAUUUACAUUCCUGUCUGAUAUUAUUUCUUUUCCUUGGUCAAGUUUAGUGAAUUCAUUAUUUUUUCCUUUUUUUUUUCUUCUGUGUUUAUGACAGAGUUGCAACUUUGAGUUGCAUUUCAUGUACUGUUUAAGCAAUUGUUAAUAUUCUAUUUAUAACAUAGCAGCAAGUACAUUUUUUUUCAGAUUUUAAUAUAUAUCUUCUGUCGUGGAUUCGUACAGUAUGUACAGAGCAGUUUGGUCAAACAAAACGUAUUAUAUGUUUUUAAAUGUUUUAUAACUGCUGAUAUAGCAUACAGCCUAAUUGCUUUUCUAAAAACACUACUCAGGCACACACUAUGCUGUGAAGUUUGACUUAUCUCUCUUGGCACUGAUGUUAUGUCAACAGUUAUACUACAUGAAUUUCAGAUUAUUUUUAAAAUAACCUAACAAGAUGCAAAAUGUGUGUGUUUACUUUAUACCAAUAAAAGAGCAGAUUGCUAAAUUA